CAUAGUUUCUUUACUAUGUCUGGAGUAAUUAAAACAAAACACCCAAUAUGCAUCUAGAACUCUGCUGACAAUGUCAGCCAGGUUAAAAAUAUCUUUUUCAUAAUCUCUCUUUUUCUUUCAAAGGUAUUAAAGCAUUCUGUCUGCCCACACAUUCUGUAACUUGUGCAGCCCUUACAGGGAUUAGGGAUAGAUUUCUAUGGUUUGACCCUGUUCCUUACCACUCUGCAGAAAUGGGGCCGUGAGUGAGAAGAGUCACUGGUAUUGCAAGAUGUAGAGAGUAUCUAAAGACUUCUCAUUUCUGAAUAGCUCUACCUCUGAUCAUGCCUGAAAUUCCAUUACAAAUCUAUUUCUUGAAGGUGUGUUUUAAUUUGUGGGGGCUGAAAAGGAUACCGAACACUAGUGACCAAGGACUCUCAAAUGCUAUGACUGAGAAGGCAGUAAAGCAAGGACUCUCCCUCAGAAGGAAGCCAUGGAUGUUCUGACACCCCAGGACAACGCACCUGAGUAGGACCGUGAUGGGCGAAGGGAAAAUGCCUGACACCUGGUAUCUACCCCUCAGGAUGGACUGAUGUUUGCCGAUGCUUUUCCCUGGGGAACAGUCUCCCGCACUUCCAUGGUGGAAUGAAAAACUUGGCCUGAGGUUUUAGCCAUCGUGAACAGAUAUGUUGAACCACCUAAAUCUACAGAUUCAUUACAAGUGCCACUUCAUAUUCAGAGAGAGUGAUUUUUUUCUCCCUUUAUGUGGACCCCUCUGGGAUGUCUCCAGCGGAGCAAGAGCCAGACCUACCUUGUUCAUAGUUUUCUUCAUAUGAAAUGCAUUGCUUAGCACCUUGUAGGAGCUUCAUUGUAUAUAUGUGGAAUCAAUGAAUCAACAUAAAAGGAAGGAUAAACCUUUGGCGUUGAUAAAAGAAGAGCAACAGCAAAUCCCACCCCCGCCAUUUACUGGCCUGUUAACUUCUCUCCGCCUGAAUUUCCUCAACUGCUAAGUGGGAAGGAUCGUGAUAAUCACAGCAUGUACCUCGCGAUACCUUGAUUUCUCGGGCUGUGCUUCCUGCAACAUGGAGGGUCUGUAACAGCACAGAGCUCAUAAGGGAACUUCAGCCAUGUCUGUCUUGGGCCGUCGCACAGAUGAUUCCUGCAUUUGGGAGCACUUCUUGAGCCAGGCCAUAUGCUCAGCAUCACGGGAGCUUCAUGUGUUCCGUCUGGAGCACUGGGAAUAAUGAGAUCCUGAACCGCAAAGGGCAGAGUCCCUGGAAAGCAGCCAUACUUGGUGGAGUGCUCUGUGCUAAUCCUCACAAACGGAUAUGUACAAGUGAAUGCCUUGUUCCACUGAGGUCUCACAUCCUCCCAUCCCCCACCAUGGAGCAGGAAGCCUGUUGGUGCUACUUUUAAAAGGGUGCAUUAUUUUUGUGUGUGUUCACAGGAACCUGUCUAGUGAUUAUAUUUUAGAACAAUUUGCACAUUUUCUAGGAAAGAAAAAAAUUGGUGUAGUGUUUUGCAAAGCUCUUAGGAAAGAGAAAUCUCAGCGUUUCCCAUUAGAAUCACCUUUCACUAGGCUGUGUGGCAUCCUUUGCAGGUGAAUCACCCAGGGCAGUUUUGGUGGUGCACACAACAGGACUGAAGGGUUAAAAGGCAAUCAGAACUCUGAACGGUGGAGGUUUACCUUUUCUGUCUUCUAGAGAUACAGGGUAUUGAUCUAGUUCUGCUGCAAAGCUCUUUGCUUUAUCACUGAAUUUUAAACAGAAAGCAUCUUGAAGUGCAGAGGCCGGUGAAUUACUAGGAGCAGAGGUAUUUUCGCAAACAUCAAGGAUAGGCAGGCUUUGGAGUUUGCAAUGGCAGGGCCCACGGCUACAUCACUGUAUUAUCUAAUGUUAGUGCUUUUUUUUUUUUUUUAAAUGGGAAACUGCAUUGGUUGAUAGAUUAUAAACUGCCUCUCCCACCUAUUUACCCCACUUCUCUUGACUUUUCCACUUCUCCAUUCCAAUCUCUGGUACUUGUGACUUACUUAAUGUGUUCCUUUCUGGAGACUCUGGGGAAUACUCUUUCCUUGACUUUCCCAGCUCUUAGAGACUGCCCACAUUCCUGGACUUGUGGCCCUCUCCUUCAUUUUCUUUAAAUUAAUUUUUAAUGUUUAUUUAUUUUUGCAAGUGGGGGAAGGGCAGAGAGAGAGAGGAGACAGAGGAUCCCACGCGGGCUUUGACAGCAGGGAGCCCAAUACGGGGCUGGAACCCAUGAACCGUGAGUCCACAAUCUGAGCUGAAGUCGAAGGUUCAACCAACUGAGAUGCCCAGGUGCGCCCACCCCCACCCCCCUUCAUUUUCAGUCACAGUGUUGCAUCUCUCAGCUCAUCUUCUGUGAUCAUACUCCCUCUCACUGACUAGGGACAGGUCUUCUGCUUUUGGGGACUUGUGAUCACAUUGAGCCCACUUGAAUAAUUCAGGAUAAUCUCAUCUCAAGGCCCUUAACUUUAAUCACAUCUGCAAAGUUCUUUAUGCCAAGUAGGAUAACAUGUCCAUGGACCCAGGGGAUAAGGGUAUGGACAUCUGUGAUGGGCCAUUAUUCUGCCUACCACACACAUGGAACCUGGCUGAGUGUGCCAGCAUCCCUAUGAACGAAAAGCACCAAUCUGUUCUCAGAGAGAUGCCCCUGUGUCCAAAUGAACCAAAUGUCAUGCUGAAUCAGUGACUUUACUCAGUAAGUAUUUAUUAAGCCUGUUGAACACUCAGUAUUUGUUGAGAUUAGCGUUCCUUUCCUAAAUUAAUGUUAUAUAUUUCUUAAAAAAAUUUUUUUUAAUGUUUAUUUAUUUUUGAGAGAGAGAGAGAGAGAGACAGAGAGAGAGAGCAGGG